CACGUAGGGUGCGAGCGUUGUCCGGAAUUAUUGGGCGUAAAGAGCUCGUAGGCGGUGUGUCGCGUCGGCCGUGAAAACCUGCAGCUUAACUGUGGGCUUGCGGUCGAUACGGGCAUCACUGGAGUUCGGCAGGGGAGACUGGAAUUCCUGGUGUAGCGGUGGAAUGCGCAGAUAUCAGGAGGAACACCGAUGGCGAAGGCAGGUCACUGGGCCGCAACUGACGCUGAGGAGCGAAAGCAUGGGGAGCGAACAGG
rnacentral:rRNA from 1 species